GACGAACGCUGGCGGCGCGCUUAACACAUGCAAGUCGAACGGAAAGGCCUGCUUUCCCUUGUGGAUUGCGGGUACUCGAGUGGCGAACGGGUGAGUAACACGUGAGUGAUCUGCCCCCAACUUGGGUAUAAGCCUGGGAAACUGGGUCUAAUUCCCGAUAGGACUGCAGGGUGGUGCCUGUGGUGGAAAACGAUUUUCUAGUGGUUGGGGGUGAGCUCGCGGCCUAUCAGCUUGUUGGUGGGGUAAUGGCCUACCAAGGCGGCGACGGGUAGCCGGCCUGAGAGGGUGGACGGUCACAUUGGGACUGGGAUACGGCCCAGACUCCUACGGGAGGCAGCAGUGGGGAAUAUAGCACAAUGGGCGGAAGCCUGAUGCAGCGACGCCGCGUGGGGGAUGACGGCCUUCGGGUUGUAAACUCCUUUCGACCGCGAGGAAGCCACCUGGUUGGAAGGGUGGUGACGGUAGUGGUAGAAGAAGCACCGGCUAACUACGUG
rnacentral:rRNA from 1 species